AGCGAACGCUGGCGGCAGGCCUAACACAUGCAAGUCGAACGAACCUAUCGUGAGUGGUUGCGGUCGGGGGUGUAACACGUCGGAAGGGGGCUUUAUGUUCGGGAUACUUCAUUUAAGCUUGUGCUAAUACCGAAUGUGUUCCUCGGGUGCAGGAUUAAUCGCCCUUAGAGCGGCCGGCGUCUGAUUAGCUAGUUGGUUGAGGUUAUGGCUCACCAAGGCGACGAUCAGUAGCUGGUCUGAGAGGAUGAUCAGCCACAUUGGUACUGAGACACGGCCCAAACUCCUACGGGAGGGAGCAGUGGGGAAUCUUGCGCAAUGGGCGAAAGCCUGACGCAGCCAUGCCGCGUGAAUGAUGAAGGUCUUAGGAUUGUAAAAUUCUUUCACCGGGGACGAUAAUGACGGUACCCGGAGAAGAAGCCCCGGCUAACUUCGUG
rnacentral:rRNA from 1 species